UGGGGAAUAUUGGACAAUGGGCGAAAGCCUGAUCCAGCCAUGCCGCGUGUGCGAAGAAGGCCCUCGGGUUGUAAAGCACUUUCAGCGAGGAAGAACGCCUAGGGGUUAAUACCCCCUAGGAAAGACAUCAUUUGCAGAAGAAGCACCGGCUAAAUCCGUGCCAGCAGCCGCGGUAAUACGGCGGGUGCAAGCCUUAAUCGGAAUUACUGGGUGUUAAGCCCGGGUAGGUGGCUUGAUAACCCGGUUGUGAAAGCCCCGGGCUCAACCUGGGAACGGCAUCCGGAACUGUCAAGGUUGAGUGCAGGAGUGGAAGGUAGAAUUCCCGGUGUAGCGGUGAAAUUCUAGAGAUCGGGAGGAAUACCAGUGGCGAAGGCGGCCUUCGGGACCGACAGAGACACUGAGGUGCGAAAGCGUGGGUGGCAACCA
rnacentral:rRNA from 1 species